rnacentral:lncRNA from 1 species
CUGCGCCGCCCGGCCUCACUCCGCGGCCCGCCAGGACCCGGCCCCGGUGAACGGGCUCGGGGUGCCGAGGUCCGGCUGCGGGGCCGGGAAGCCACCUCCACCUUGCCGUCUGUUACGACCCCCGAGGCGCAAGGCUGAGCCCCAUCUCGCUAUCCGGGUCCGGAGGGGUUCACCUUAGAAGGAUUUUUUGAAGCUCUUGGCGCUGGCUCUAAAAGAACCCACUUCCUUGCGGAUUUCAGGAGUCAAGAAUCCUUAAACGGAGCCAAUUUGCUUUGUAAAGCCAAUUGCCCAAGUGACUUGAGUUCGAAAGGAGAUACUUCCUGGACAACUGCUAUAAAAACAACAACAAAUACUUUUAUUAAUUCGGGGAGCCUGGUCACCAACUGGAUGCUCAGGGGAGAUGGAACCCUGAGCAGCCCAUGUACAUGGAAGAUCUUUAUUGCAGAGAUCUUCAAACCAGAUGGCUCGCAGAGAUUGAGGAACUUGCCCAAGGCUACGCAGCUUGAAACUGAGGCUAAAGAGUUUAGUAUUCUGCCAAGGCCAGCUAAUAGUUACAGAGCAUGGUUCCAAAUUCAGAGCUGUCGGAAGCUUAAGCCCAUGUGAUGAACCACGAAUGUGAUUUUACCUCAUUUAAGCCUUGCAGCAAACUCUGCCAACUAGUGUGCAUUUACUCCUGCCUCUCCAUGCCUGAAGGAAGGAAUGAAGAGGUCUCUGCUGUCCAUCUGAGCCAGUGACUGGGCUGUCUCUACCAGGCCAGAAUUUGGGGCAGGCAAGAUUUUCAGCAUCCCUAAAAUCACACUAAGAAGAUAAACAUGGAAACAGCUUGGAGCUGCCCUACCCAUAGUGAGGUGGUACUGACUGGAAGACAGCUUAAACGAUUUGGAGAAAAGUGGAAUACAUUAAUCUCAGAAAACUCUACCACCUGUAGAAAGAGAGCUAAAAUGGAGACAACCACAGGCAGUCUAAGAUACGCUGAACUACUACAGAAAAUAAUGCAGCAUGAAGGAAUGCUGGAAGGAUCUUCUAAGGGUGUGAGGAUACAGGCGUCAAAGACCCCGUGCUGAGACAGCUCCAUAACAACAUGCAGAUAUUUGGCAAUGAGGGUUCAGAAGAGGACUUGCUGUGGAGAAGAGAGAAAAGAGAUGGGAAGACUCUGUGAAUGAAUAGAGAACACUCUGCAAGCAUCCCAGUUCCUUUGGUUGCCCUGCAGUCUGCAGGUACCAGGAGAAAUCAAAAGCCGCCUGGAAGGGCUUUCUGUCUGUAUGGAGUCAAGGCAGUGUCUUCAAAUCUGUGCUUUCUAAAACAAAGAAAUAACCUUGAUGAAACAAAUUUUCCCCAGAGGAAGGGGAGAGCCCACAGUGAGCUGGUAAAGAAGAUGCCUGGAGCAGGCAGCAUCCUCAAAUGGAAGAUAUGAGGAGCAGGUAUGACUGCUUCACAGACACCUCCCAAAGACAUGCCAUGGGCAGUGGGUUGGUGCAUGGGAAACUGGAUCCGAUCUGUCUCAUACCAAGCUAAGGAAACAAGGAUAACAAGGAGUUUUCCUGUACCUUGAUUUUUUCAAUAUGUGGGUUUAGAGUUGGAUGAAAGCCAGCUUUUAAGUGAACCUGGUAAGAUUUGUAAUGACAAUAUUUAAAAUGAAAGAAGGAAAGAAUAAGCUUGCCUGAAACAGAAUACACUAUCAUGGGCAGGAGAGUUAUAGCACUAAGGUGUGACUCUUUCACCCAGAAAAUGCAUUCCUACUUUUCU